CAGCCGCCACGGUAAUACGUAGGGUGCAAGCGUUAAUCGGAAUUACUGGGCGUAAAGCGUGCGCAGGCGGUUAUAUAAGUCAGAUGUGAAAUCCCCGGGCUCAACCUGGGAACUGCAUUUGAGACUGUAUGGCUAGAGUGUGUCAGAGGGGGGUAGAAUUCCACGUGUAGCAGUGAAAUGCGUAGAUAUGUGGAGGAAUACCGAUGGCGAAGGCAGCCCCCUGGGAUAACACUGACGCUCAUGCACGAAAGCGUGGGGAGCAAACAGGAUUAGAUACCCGGGUAGUCCCUGUCUCUUAUAC
rnacentral:rRNA from 1 species